rnacentral:rRNA from 1 species
UCUAAGAGAUCAGCCUAUGUCCUAUCAGCUUGUUGGUGAGGUAAUGGCUCACCAAGGCUAUGACGGGUAUCCGGCCUGAGAGGGUGAUCGGACACACUGGAACUGAGACACGGUCCAGACUCCUACGGGAGGCAGCAGUAGGGAAUAUUGCUCAAUGGGCGAAAGCCUGAAGCAGCAACGCCGCGUGGAGGAUGAAGGUCUUCGGAUUGUAAACUCCUUUUCUAAGAGAAGAUUAUGACGGUAUCUUAGGAAUAAGCACCGGCUAACUCCGUGCCAGCAGCCGCGGUAAUACGGAGGGUGCAAGCGUUACUCGGAAUCACUGGGCGUAAAGAGCACGUAGGCGGCCUUGCAAGUCAGAUGUGAAAUCCAACGGCUUAACCGUUGAACUGCAUUUGAAACUGCAAGGCUAGAGUAUGGGAGAGGUAGGUGGAAUUCUCGGUGUAGGGGUAAAAUCCGUAGAGAUCGAGAGGAAUACUCAUUGCGAAGGCGACCUGCUGGAACAUUACUGACGCUGAUUG